rnacentral:rRNA from 1 species
UACGUAGGGUGCGAGCGUUGUCCGGAAUUAUUGGGCGUAAAGAGCUUGUAGGCGGUUUGUCGCGUCUGCCGUGAAAAUCCGGGGCUCAACCCCGGACUUGCGGUGGGUACGGGCAGACUAGAGUGUGGUAGGGGAGACUGGAAUUCCUGAUGUAGCGGUGAAAUGCGCAGAUAUCAGGAGGAACACCGAUGGCGAAGGCAGGUCUCUGGGCCACUACUGACGCUGAGAAGCGAAAGCGUGGGGAGCGAACAGG